rnacentral:rRNA from 1 species
GCGCAGCAGUCGCGAAAACUCCGCAAUACGCGAAAGCGUGACGGGGCCAUCCCGAGUGCCGUCCGCUGAGGAUGGCUUUUCCCCUGUGUAGAUAGCUGGGGGAAUAAGGAGAGGGCAAGUCUGGUGUCAGCCGCCGCGGUAAUACCAGCUCUCCGAGUGGUAGGGAUGAUUAUUGGGCUUAAAGCGUCCGUAGCUGGCCUUUCAAGUCUCUUGUUAAAUCCAGCGAUUCAAUCGUUGGACUGCGGGAGAUACUGUUAGGCUAGGAGGCGGGAGAAGCCAACGGUAUUCCCGGGGUAGGGGUGAAAUCCUAUAAUCCCGGGAGGACCACCAGUGGCGAAGGCUGUUGGCUAGAACACGCCCGACGGUGAGGGAUGAAAGCUGGGGGAGCGAACCGGAUUAGAUACCCGGGUAGUCC